rnacentral:rRNA from 1 species
AUACGUAGGGGGCAAGCGUUGUCCGGAAUGAUUGGGCGUAAAGGGCGCGUAGGCGGCCCGGUAAGUCUGAAGUGAAAGUCCUGGUUUUAAGCUGGGAAUUGCUUUGGAUACUGUCGGGCUUGAGUGCAGGAGAGGUAAGUGGAAUUCCCAGUGUAGCGGUGAAAUGCGUAGAGAUUGGGAGGAACACCAGUGGCGAAGGCGACUUACUGGACUGUAACUGACGCUGAGGCGCGAAAGUGUGGGGAGCAAACAGGAUUAGAUACCCUGGUAGUCCACACUGUAAACGAUGAAUGCUAGGUGUAGGGGGUAUCGACCCCUUCUGUGCCGCAGUUAACACAAUAAGCAUUCCGCCUGGGGAGUACGGCCGCAAGGUUGAAACUCAAAGGAAUUGACGGGG